AUACUUACCUGGCAGGGGAGAUACCAUGAUCACGAAGGUGGUUUUCCCAGGGCGAGGCUUAUCCAUUGCACUCCGGAUGUGCUGACCCCUGCGAUUUCCCCAAAUGUGGGAAACUCGACUGCUAAAAA
rnacentral:snRNA from 1 species